rnacentral:rRNA from 1 species
AUUGAACGCUGGCGGCAGGCCUAACACAUGCAAGUCGAGAGAGCGGCGGACGGGUGAGUAAUGUCUGGGAAACUGCCUGAUGGAGGGGGAUAACUACUGGAAACGGUAGCUAAUACCGCAUACCAUCAGAUGUGCCCAGAUGGGAUUAGCUAGUAGGGGGGGUAACGGCUCACCUAGGCGACGAUCCCUAGCUGGUCUGAGAGGAUGACCAGCCACACUGGAAAUAAGACACGGUCCAGACUCCUACGUGAGGCAUCAGGGGGGAAUAUUGCACAAUGGGCGAAAGCCUGAUGGAGCCAUGCCGCGUGUGUGAAGAAGGCCUUCGGGUUGUAAAGCACUUUCGGCGGAGAGGCGUUACCCGCAGAGGAAGCACCGGCUAACUCCGUGCCAGCAGCCGCGGUAAUUC